AACGCGCAUGCGUAUAAAGGAUAAACGAGGCCAGGCUCCGCGUCGCCAUCUUGGGUGAUGGUGGUUGCCAUGGCAACCGCGCGGCCUGCACCUCUCCGAGCAGCCUGAGCCCUCCGAAAGGGGGAACGGCCCCGAGCCGACGACCCUCGACACCCUCUGGGACCCCCCCCCGUGUCCUCCUCGAGACACAGUCCUCGCUGUGACCCCUCCUCCCCGCUGGGACCCUGUGGUGCCCAGGGGUGGAUGCCAGGUGCCCACCCACCCACUCUAUCACUCCCCUUUCCAGCGGGACAGUGACUGAGGAGAGCCAUGAAGAACCAGCCUUCAGAAACAGGACAUGCGGAUGAAAUGCCAGAGGAGAAGCAACCCAAAGGAGUGAGACCUUCAGAAACAGAAGGUUUGGAAUCACUUGUAAUGGAGUUAAAACUGAAGGAAUGGCAUAAAGAAACUUGCACGGAACCAUACAUGAAGACUUUUAUCUGUGAACAACUUCCUCUGAUAGAUUUUUAUUUUUCUUUCUGCAGUAACUGUUGGUCCGGUGAGUUAAAGGUCUUGCAGCCAACUGACUGUACAUUUGGCCAUCUGCCACUGUGGCUUCCUGAAGCUGAAGGAACCAGAAAGCAGUUUCUUUUCCUGCAACUUGUUCAGAUCUCUCUGUUGAGAGCUUAGAUUUUGAGCUCUGACAGCAUUAGCAUCCAGAGUACUCACUGGUCCCAGAGGCACAUUCCGUUUGCAGAGUGCAUUCAGGCAUCUGCUGCAGCCAGGGCACAACUUGAUCGAUCCACUGUUUCAUGUUUUGGUUUUCAUUAAGUAGAUUUUACGUACUAA